CACAUGGGCGGGAGAGGCAGGGAGGGGCCAAAGGAGCAGGACAAGUCGCCAGAUUGGAUCUGGAAAGGAACCAGUUUAAUCCCACCAUCAGGACAAGGAGCUGCCAGCAAGCAGGGGCCAGCCUCCGGAGAUCAGGCAAGAAGAUCUCUCUCUCUCUCUCUCUCUCUCUCUCUCUCUCUUUCCCUCUUCUGCAGCGGAGACAGCAGCUGCUGGGUGGAGCAGCCCUCCAGGGAAAAUGCAGCAGGACAGAAGCAUCAUCACCACAGGCAACGUGCAAGAGGCUGGUCUCCCUGCCACCUCUGAUCUGACUCUAAUCAACAGGAAGUGAGCCCCGCUGGCAGGAAAGGUGUGUGAAGUGCAGAGCACUGCAAGUUGGAUAUGAGGACCAAGGGCCUGAGCCAAAGAGUUCGUGGAAAAG